rnacentral:rRNA from 1 species
UACAGAGGUCUCAAGCGUUGUUCGGAUUCAUUGGGCGUAAAGGGUGUGUAGGUGGCGCCGUAAGUCGGGUGUGAAAUCUCGGGGCUUAACUCCGAAACUGCAUUCGAUACUGCGGUGCUUGAGGACUGGAGAGGAGACUGGAAUUCAUGGUGUAGCAGUGAAAUGCGUAGAGAUCAUGAGGAAGACCAGUGGCGAAGGCGGGUCUCUGGACAGUUCCUGACACUGAGGCACGAAGGCCAGGGGAGCAAACGGG